GAAAGUAAUGAAGGGCGUACGGUGGAUGCCUAGGCUCUUACAGGCGAUGAAGGACGUGAUAAGCUGCGAAAAGCCGCGGUGAGGCGCAAAUGGCCCUUGACCCGCGGAUCUCCGAAUGGGACAACCCAAUAUCUUGAAGAGAUAUUAUCCCGCCGGUGCGGGAGGCGAACGCGGGGAACUGAAACAUCUUAGUACCCGCAGGAAAAGAAAAUAAAGAAUGAUUCCCCCAGUAGUGGCGAGCGACCGGGGAAGAGCCCAAACCGACGUUGUCUCGGCAUCGUCGGGGUUGUAGGACCGCGCCAUCGCAAGAAAGGCCGUGAGUGGAAGCGACUGGAAAGCCGCGCCAUAGAGGGUGACAGCCCCUUACACGAAGCAGCCUGAAGCGUAGCGGACUCCUGAGUAGCGCGGGACACGAGUAAUCCUGUGUGAAUCCGCCGGGCCCAUCCGGCAAGGCUAAAUACUCGUAAGAGACCGAUAGUGAACCAGUACCGUGAGGGAAAGGUGAAAAGGACCCCUUGCAGGGGAGUGAAACAGUUCCUGAAACCGUACGCCUACAAGCGGUCGGAGCAUCUUGAAUGAUGUGACGGCGUGCCUUUUGCAUAAUGAACCUACGAGUUGCCGUCACCAGCGAGGUUAAGUGCGACGACGCACCGAGCCGCAGCGGAAGCGAGUCUUAAAAGGGCGCGAUAGUUGGUGGAGGCAGACGCGAAACCGAGUGAUCUACACUUGUCCAGGAUGAAGUCCCGGUAACACGGGAUGGAGGUCCGCACCAAUAAGCGUUGAAAAGCUUCUGGAUGAGGUGAGUGUAGGAGUGAAAGGCCAAUCAAACUCGGAGAUAGCUCGUACUCCCCGAAAGGCAUUUAGGUGCCGCCUGUGGCGUUCCCGACGUGAGGUAGAGCGACUGAUAGGAUGCGAGGGCUUCACCGCCUAUCAAGUCCUGACAAACUCCGAAUGCACGUCGGCCAAGCCAUGGAGUAAGGGCAUGGGUGCUAAGGUCCGUGCCCGAGAGGAGAAGAAUCCAGACCACCGGCUAAGGUCCCGAAAUACUGGUUAAGUUAGACUAACGCAGUCCGGCCCCCAAGACAGCUAGGAUGUUGGCUUGGAAGCAGCCAUUCAUUCAAAGAGUGCGUAACAGCUCACUAGUCGAGGAGCUGGGCGUGGAUAAUAAUCGGGUAUAAAACCAGUUACCGAAGCCGUGGGAUGCUCAAGCAUCGGUAGGGGAGCAUUGCAUGCGGCUUGGAAGGCGGGGCGCGAGCCCCUCUGGAGCGCAUGGAAACGCAAAUGUAGGUAUAAGUAACGACAAGGGGGGUGGGAUGCCCCCCCGCCGAAAGACCAAGGUUUCCUGAACAACGCUAAUCGGUUCAGGGUCAGUCGGGUCCUAAGCAUAAGCCGUAUGGCGAUGGCGAUGGACGAAACGGUUAAUAUUCCGUUACUGUCUUGGUGUGUGACGCGGCGACGGAGUAGUGACACGGCCGCCUCCUGACGGAAAAGGGGGUUGAAGCGCAAAGGUGUCGAGGAAGGCAGGCAAAUCCACCUUCCGAGCCGAAGCGCGAUAGUACGCCGGGCCCUUUUGGGCAAGGCGAUAGUGCCGGUAAUCAGACUUCCAAGAAAACCCGCUAAACUUCAGCACCAAGUCACCCGUACUCCAAACGGACACACGUGGUCGGGUAGAAUAUACUAAGGCGCUUGGGAGAUUCACGGUUAAGGAACUAGGCAAAUUGACCCCGUACCUUCGGAAUAAGGGGUCCUCGCUUUAGCGAGGCGCAGAGAAUAGGUCCAGGCAACUGUUUAACAAAAACACAGGGCUGUGCCAAUUUGAAAGAAGAAGUAUACAGCCUGACACCUGCCCGGUGCCGGAAGGUUAAGAGGAGAGCUCAUCAGCGAUGAGAAGGCUUGAAUUGAAGCCCCGGUAAACGGCGGCCGUAACUAUAACGGUCCUAAGGUAGCGAAAUUCCUUGUCAGGUAAG
rnacentral:rRNA from 1 species